AGUCUCCAGUGGUCCUCUCAGUUGCUUCUCUUUGUUGAUAUUCGUUCUUCCACUGUCGUCUGUAUCCUAAUUCUUUUUUAUAACAUCAGCAUAGGGUUCAAGCUUUUCUAAAGCACGCAAACAGAUCUAGGGCUUGAAUUGGUUUGGUGAUAUCUCCGCAACCGCUGGCGUUUCCUACGGUGGUGAAUAACACAUGUUUAAAUCAGAAACCGAAUCAAGUUAUCUAGGGUUUCUUUCUUCUUCUUCUUCUCUGUACCUAUAACCACCACUGCAAAAGGUUCUAAUAUCUGAUCAACACUGGCCGAAGAAACCAGAAGGCGUUUUUGAAGCAACCGAAAGUCUUCAUCUGGUUAGAAGCGGACCCUAGACCUCUAAGUUUAGUUCGAAGAAGAGCGGCAAAGGAAAAAGGUCUGGAAAUGGGGAAGUAGUUCCAGAAGAGUAUUGGUCUUGGAUUUAACCUGAGAGAGGCUAUUAAAGUUUCAACGACUCAGAUUAAAGCAACGUACACCUGCUGCUACCAGUGAUGUUCCAUCCACCUUUUUUUCUGCCCAAACUUGGUAGAACUCUAGGGGAAAGCUUCUCUUCAACCCAAAAGAACUCAAAAUCACUGGAGCGGAGAUUAAUGCUAUUGUGCUGCUUUGAUGCUACAUGUUGAAAGUUGAGAGUGCAACGUUAAAAACCAAUGAAACCGGUUUCGGGCCCAAAGCUGGACGUUGUCUGUCUCGCCACUUCAGUUUCAAGUCUUCAAAAAGCUAACAACAUGAACAACUUACUAGCAAUGGCGUAGCCAGGAACUUUUUUAGAUUGGUUCUACUUUUAUUAAUAAAACGACUAAGUUACUUCUAUAGCUCAUCAUAUUUUUUUAAGUGUGUCUUUUGGUUUGCAGUACUGAUUUUAAGCCUGAAGGUGCUGGUCGUGGCAAUUAGGGAACUGCUACUGAUGAGAUUGCAGUGUGAUCGUUGACCCGACAAUGCGGUUUGUUGAUGUGGUUUCUGGGUUCCCGGGACGUAUGACUAAAAACGGUGUCCUUCACCAAUCGGAAAUGUUACGUUUGGCACAGAAAGGAGAGAAGCUAAACGGGAAUAGAGGAGAACUUUCUAAACGAACAACGAUUCCUGAAUAUGUAGUUGGAGAAUCGGGUUUUCGGAUACUUCCAUGGCUGACGACUCCAUACCAUGAUGCAGGACUGAAUGAAGAUCAAACUGAAUUUAAUAAGAGGCAUUUAGCAACCAGGUUAGUUUCUAGUCGUGCUUUGAAGAAGUUGCAGCAGCAAGAUUGGCUCUAGUGAUUGUUUGUAACCUCUUUGUUUUUCAUUGUAGCAAAUUUAUUGUUCUUAAAGUGUAAUAUGUUGUCUUGAAUUUAUAUAAACUGUCAAGAACCAAGUUUUACAUGUUU
rnacentral:lncRNA from 1 species